GAAGGGCUGAAUGAUUUAAAGCGUGCUCGUUCAAUCUAUAAGGCCUAUCAAUACUAUCAUUAAUUCAAGUGGCGUGCUUUCGACUCCCCGCUUGUACAUGACACGCGGUAUGGUUGCCUGUCCAACCUCGUGAGUUUUCUCCAGGUCCUCCGGUUUCUCCCACUGCUAAAGAGACCUACGCGCAAGCAAAUUAUGGACAUAAAAUGGAAAGGCAUGUUAGUCCCUAAAUGACCUAGUUUGUUUCAAGUGGACGUUAAACCCAUUUAUCCUUCUCGCUAACCAGGAGGUACUAAUUAUAGUUUUGUGUAUGAUCACAUCUGAUCACGUUUUAUCGACUGUUCUAUCACGCAUCUGAUCCCAUCUGUCUGUAGACUCUUCUAUCACACAUCUGAUUACAUUUUGUCUACAGUUCUAUCACGUAUCUGAUCACGUUUUAUCGACUGUUCUAUCACAACUGUGUAAUCCAUGGAUCUAAAAUAACAAUUUUCGUCUGCCCCCAAAAAGUGAAUAAUUUAAAUUAUAUAGCAAGGAAUGUUAAAAGUGGUACAAUGUACCUGUCACUUUAAUAUCAUUUUCUGAACCAUUCAUUGUUUGUCAGCAAAUAGAGGUCAUGGUCUAGAGGGAACCAGGUCAGUAAAUAACAUGCAUUAUGAUAUCAGUUUAUGGGGCUGGUAUAAUGAACAACAGGUGUAGAUGAUUCUCUCUGGUAUAUAAAUACCUGCUGUACACAUAGACUUGAAUAGAUUAUACGUUACCGACUCCAGGAAUAGUGCAGUAUACGGGAAGCGCACCUGUUUAAAGACUUUAAGUGGAAGUUAAUCAUUUCAACUUGAUAUAAUCUAGUUUAAAUUUGAAUCAAUUCAUCACCAGUUCAUCUUUUGUUAAUCCGAAAACAGAAGACCCAGAAAGCUGUAACCAAGGGUUUUGGAAAAUGGGACGAGUUUUAAAUAUCUUUCUGAUAGUUUCCCUGGUGCUGACUAUCGUUUAUUUUGACAAAGGUAUGACAUCACCCAGUCGAGGAGCGUGUUGGUUAUGUUAUGACAGAUAUGAAGAUUGUGUUUGGGGGUGUAGGAAUAACUGCCCUGGUCCGGGACGGUGUGAAUAUGACGCCGAGAUUUUCCUGUAUGAAUGUAGCUGUUUCUGAAAGAUAUCACUAACAUUUAAAAUAUGAUUCGACUCUGACAAAGCAGAUCACCCGUCUCCAUUAGCCCAGCCAGGAGCAGGCAGAACUGUAGGACGUUAAAUCCCAUUUCAUUACAUAUAUUAUUUAACACGUUCCUGUGAUAGACGUUUAAAUAUAGAACUGAAGUCAAGUAAACGAUACACGACAAUCGAUCCUCGUGCAACGCCUGAUGAUUGCGGUUAGAGGGAGACAACUCCAGUCUACAUAUUAUGGUCGCGCGUUGUCAUCCAGAUUUGUAUGUAUAUAGGUACACACAUGUUUAUAAAAUGUGCAAAAACAUACACAAUUGAUAAUAAAUAGAGUGCAUACAUGUAAUUCUAUAUAUUAUACAAAACCAAACCGUUAUGUUUCCGAUAAUUAAAGACAUAAACCCACAA